CAAGGUACCUGAGUGACUAGAAAGGCUGGAACCAGGAUCCACCCAGACUCCAUUUAAGGGCUGGCAAUGGAGGUGAAUGUAUUUCAUCUGGAGGUCUCUGCCUAUAUGAAGGUCUUUCUGAAGUACAUUCCUGGCCCACAGCCUCCUCUCAGAACAACCAACUUUGGUAUCUUUAGAUGCUUUGUGUCCUUCUCAAUGAAAAUGCAGGAGAUGCAAAUGGACCAACACAGCUCCAGAAUGACACAGAAGCCAACGCAUCCACCAGAGAAUGGGAACCAGGGAUGUGAUCCCUGUGGCCAUCCCAGUGGAAUGAAAUGGGCAGCCACGAUGUAUCUGCAGCCACUACUUCUGAUGAUUAAAAAAAGUUAAUUAGAACUUCUGAAACAAUGAGACAUCCAGUUUUUCACGUAUGAUUCAUCCUGUGUCUGAACUAGUCUCCUGAGGGUCAUUUUCAUGGUAAAUUAGUCUUUCAAAUGUCAAGCUUAAAUUAUCAGCACUGACACCCAUGACCACGGUGUCAGAGCAGU
ensembl:lncRNA